rnacentral:rRNA from 1 species
CCUACGGGGAGCAGCAGUGGGGAAUAUUGCACAAUGGGCGCAAGCCUGAUGCAGCCAUGCCGCGUGUGUGAAGAAGGCCUUCGGGCUGUAAAGCACUUUCAGCGGGGAGGAAGGCGGUGAGGUUAAUAACCUCAUCGAUUGACGUUACCCGCAGAAGAAGCACCGGCUAACUCCGUGCCAGCAGCCGCGGUAAUACGGAGGGUGCAAGCGUUAAUCGGAAUUACUGGGCGUAAAGCGCACGCAGGCGGUCUGUCAAGUCGGAUGUGAAAUCCCCGGGCUCAACCUGGGAACUGCAUUCGAAACUGGCAGGCUAGAGUCUUGUAGAGGGGGGUAGAAUUCCAGGUGUAGCGGUGAAAUGCGUAGAGAUCUGGAGGAAUACCGGUGGCGAAGGCGGCCCCCUGGACAAAGACUGACGCUCAGGUGCGAAAGCGUGGGGAGCAAACAGGAUUAGAUACCCCGGUAGUC